rnacentral:rRNA from 1 species
AGUCGAGCGGACAGAAGGGAGCUUGCUCCUGGAUGUUAGCGGCGGACGGGUGAGUAACACGUGGGUAACCUGCCUGUAAGACUGGGAUAACUCCGGGAAACCGGAGCUAAUACCGGAUAGUUCCUUGAACCGCAUGGUUCAAGGUUGAAAGAGGGUUUCGGCUGUCACUUACAGAUGGACCCGCGGCGCAUUAGCUAGUUGGUGGGGUAAUGGCUCACCAAGGCGACGAUGCGUAGCCGACCUGAGAGGGUGAUCGGCCACACUGGUACUGAGACACGGCCCAUACUCCUACGGGAGGCAGCAGUAGGGAAUCUUCCGCAAUGGACGAAAGUCUGACGGAGCAACGCCGCGUGAGUGAUGAAGGUUUUCGGAUCGUAAAGCUCUGUUGUUAGGGAAGAACAAGUGCGAGAGUAACUGCUCGCACCUUGACGGUACCUAACCAGAAAGCCACGGCUAACUACGUGCCAGCAGCCGCGUUAAUACGUAGGUGGCAAGCGUUGUCCGGAAUUAUUGGCGUAAAGGGCUCGCAGGCGGUUUCUUAAGUCUGAUGUGAAAGCCCCGGCUCAACCGGGGAGGGUCAUUGGAAACUGGGAAACUUGAGUGCAGAAGAGGAGAGUGGAAUUCCACGUGUAGCGGUGAAAUGCGUAGAGAUGUGGAGGAACACCAGUGGCGAAGGCGACUCUCUGGUCUGUAACUGACGCUGAGGAGCGAAAGCGUGGCGAGCGAACAGGAUUAGAUACCCUGUAGUCCACGCCGUAAACGAUGAGUGCUAAGUGUUAGGGGGUUUCCGCCCCUUAGUGCUGCAGCUAACGCAUUAAGCACUCCGCCUGGGAGUACGGUCGCAAGACUGAAACUCAAAGAAAUUGACGGGGGCCCGCACAAGCGGUGCAGCAUGUGGUUUAAUUCGAAGCAACGCGAAGAACCUUACAGGUCUGACAUCAUCUGACUACCCUAGAGAUAGGGCUUUCCCUUCGGACAGAGUGACAGUGUGCAUGAUUGUCGUCAGCUCGUGUACGUGAGAUGUAGGAUCAAGUUCCCGUACGAGCGCAGCGUUGAUCUAGUGCAGCAUCAGUGGGCACUCAAGCUGACUGCGUGACAAACGAGUAGGUCGGAUG